GAGCGCGCGAGGCCGGAAGAGGCGGGCGGCCAGAAGAGGUCCGCAGAGUUCAGGCGACAGGCGAGACGGCAGGGCUUAAAGUUCCGGGAAUCAAAGAUCAACUCCCACUGAGGACAAAUGGACCUGUAAUUCCGGGUGUGACGAGAGAACGAGAUUUACCUUCCUGAAUUAAAAAACAGGUCAUUAAGCUUGGGCCCUGACUCUUCUUUGUGAGAAGGUGCAGAGAUGGAAACCUUACAAUCCAAGACUAAAACGAGGGUCCUUCCCUCAUGGCUGACAGCCCAGGUGGCUACAAAGAAUGUGGCACCAAUGAAGGCCCCCAAGAGGAUGAGAAUGGCAGCAGUGCCAGUGGCAGCAGCAAGGUGCGACAACCCUGGUCAGAAGACUGUUGCGAAUUGGCAAGUGGAGCAGGGGCCUCCAUGACCUGGGCCAGGUCUUCCAGCCUAGGCAGAACAGCAAGAUGGGCGGGUGUUUCAGUCUGAUCAUCUCUUGAGCUUUUAGAAGGUGGAGGGGCUGUGGGGGGAUGCAAAGCGGGUUAACCCUCGAGGACAGGCACCCACUUCUGCCUCUGCACUGGUGAGUGUCCUGCCCUCAGCACACACAGAGUGGGUUCUCCAUGUCAGCCAAUCUCUGAUGCCAGUUGUCCAAAAUGCCAGUCUCUUCCUUUACAACGAACAUGGUAACAUCAGAUGGGCAAGAUCAGUGGUAGUGUCUGUUUUGAGUGGUGCCUGCCCCUGUGGACAGACCUUUAGGGAUGGCCAGAUGAGCAGCAGCUGCAGGGCCAGCAAGAGAUAAGGAGCUGGGGAGUGAGUUAGUUGAAUGACGGUAAUUGCCGGGAG
rnacentral:sRNA from 1 species